AGCAGCGGAUAAAAUUGCGAAGGGCCCAGCAGCAGAGAAGGUGGCGAAGGGCCCGGCACCACUCGUUCGCUGCCAUAGCGGGGACCAGCGCCACAAGCAUCCAGCAGUAGGAAGCCAGGCCAGCCAGCCCCUCGGGCGCUAGCACGGACAGUGGUGGGUAGACCAACCCAGAAAGAACCCUGUACUGUGCCUCCUGCUCCUCGAAUGAGGAGGUGGCAGCAGCACUACCUCCUGCAUACACCAGGCCUCCCCCAGGCUUACAUUCCCCCAUACUACCAGAGGAGGAAUCUGAGGAGUGGCCCGACACUCCUGCACUACCAUCAAUGCCUGCUCCAUCAUUUUCGGUGGUGACAUCGGGCUCAUCCACCCCAACUUCGCUGACCCAUUCACCGGGACCGGCGGACCCGGCUCGUCCCGUGCUACUCCGGAGAAUCCGACAGUUGCUGUCAAUAGCAAACAGAUUAUUUUAUAGAAUUGUUG